UAUUCAGUACACCAAAAGACUUAUUCAAAAGACUAUGUAUGUAUGCAUGUAUGUAUAUAUCUAUCAUCUAUCUAUCUAUAUUGUCUACCACAGUACCAAGUUUCUCAUUUGUC